GGGCCGCUAGCUCAGUUGGUAGAGCAGCUGACUCUUAAUCAGCGGGUCGCUGGUUCGAUCCCAGCGCGGCCCA
rfam:Deltaproteobacteria bacterium GWB2_55_19 gwb2_scaffold_176, whole genome shotgun sequence.